rnacentral:tRNA from 1 species
GAGAUGGCCGGGGAAUAUUUUUGAAGAAGCUGCACCCGGAGAAGUUUCAGGCAAUGGUGCUUUGGACAGGGGUUCGAUUCCCCUCAUCUCCACCA